rnacentral:rRNA from 1 species
CCUACGGGAGGCAGCAGUGGGGAAUAUUGCACAAUGGGGGAAACCCUGAUGCAGCGACGCCGCGUGAGUGAAGAAGUAAUUCGUUACGUAAAGCUCUAUCAGCAGGGAAGAAACACUGACCUUACGGUCAGCAGACGGUAGCUGCGUAAGAAGCCCCGGCUAACUACGUGCCAGCAGCCGCGGUAAUACGUAGGGGGCAAGCGUUAUCCGGAUUUACUGGGUGUAAAGGGAGCGUAGACGGUGCGCCAAGUCUGGAGUGAAAUGCCGCGGCUUAACUGCGGAACUGCUGUGGAAACUGGCGAACUAGAGUGCGGGAGGAGUAAGCGGAAUGCCUGGUGUAGCGGUGAAAUGCGUAGAUAUUAGGAGGAACACCGGUGGCGAAGGCGGCUUACUGGACCGUAACUGACGUUGAGGCUCGAAAGCGUGGGGAGCGAACAGGAUUAGAUACCCGGGUAGUC